CUCGUUCUUCUCGUGCGCGCUCCUCCAGCACAGCUGGCCCGCACCACAUGCUCGCUCAUUCACAUGGAGGAUUAGACUCUGUGCAAAUCCGUCUCUACUGGCCUGGACUUUUACUCAGAUCCUCCUUUAACACACUCUGCCCCUAGAAAAGAAAAGAAAAAAAAACUCAAAGGAGAUCUCUUAUAAUAUCUCAAAGAUUGCAAUGAGAUUAACGAACAGUUCACCUAAAAAUUUUAUCAUUAUUUGUCAUUAUUUACUCACCAUCAUCUUGUUUCAAACCCAUAUGGUGUUAUUUUAUUUAUUUUAUUUUUCAGAGAAUUUUGAUGCAACUCUUUUCUACAACAUCUGUUAAGUUUCAAAAAAGGGUAAUGAAAAGUAGUCCAUAUCAAUAAUGCAGAUAAAGUCUUCUGAAAUCAUAUAUAGCGUUGUGUGAGAAACAGGUUGACAUUUGUCAUAAUUCAUUGAUAAUAUUCUACAGUGCUGCAGGUCUCAAACCAAGAUGGUCAUGAGAUUUGAGAUUAAAUAUUGAACAUUCAUAUUUUUGGGUGAACUGUUCCUUUGUCUCCUACUUCUUUGUCUUUUUUUUUCUUUUUCCAGAAAAGAUUUCAACAAAGUCGCUGUCACGUUUUGGUCCAAGGAUGGUGAGGAAGAUUCAAAUAGAAGCGAAUUUAUUAAAACAAAACUCAGAAACUGGAAGAAACAUCUGUUUAGGAGAAACAUCUGAGACGAAUGAGGAAAAUGUCAAUGCUCGCUAGAUAGAAAAAGAUGCAAGAGAAUGAUCUCUUGCAUAAUAUAAGAGGAGACAUAAAUGAAAGCUUCAAAUCGCAGCGUCAUGGAUACCGGCUGAUAUUCAGGUGGGGACUGUGAAUUCCAUCCUAAGCCGAGAGAAGCCUGCAUACAUUUCUGUCCUGUCUGAAAAAUGCCUUGGCCACCUGUCUUCCCUCCUGAAUUGCUGCUUGUCAGGUAUAGCAAGCAUGUUGGAUGAGUACGGAGUGUGUCCUGGUCAAAACUCAUCCUGCAUGCUGGGGGAUCCCUGCCCGGGUUGAAGGGGGACACGUAAAAGGAGAUUAGCUCUGUGAUAAUGCAGGGAUUCGCACCUGGCUGUCUGGCCUGCAGCUGAUUGCAAAGUCAAUGGAUUUACCUUUAGAAAGCUGCAGAAAUCGAUAAAAUCAGUGGAGAUUCGCACCAUUUUAACAAAGCAGGAAAGUGGCCUCCAAAACCUGAAAGCUUACCUCCUUGAAGGUGAGCAAUGAGUGCAGUUCCAGAAUAGGACAAAUACUGCAGUCAUAUGUUUUCAUACCUGGGUCUGUCAAACUGCUGGUUUGAGAGAAGACGGCAUGACAUGUGGAUGUGCGUCAGAUGAAUUGCAGAGGCUAAACGAAAACCAGAAUCACCUGCGUCAGGUGCAAAAAACACCCUGUCAGUCACUUCCGAAUUAAAAGAAACCUCUAAGCUGUUUCCCAUGAUUGCAUGUUCUAACCAUAUUUGGAUUUCAUCUUGUUCAUCCACCACCUAUCUCUAGACUGACAUCUGUUUUACACCCAGGUAAUAUCGGCAGGAAAAUCAUCAACUGUCACAACUGUACACACAAAUACACACCAAAUAGAUUGCUCCCUGCCGUGGGGAGAGCUCGCUAUGCCGUUAUGACCAAUUUUUUAUGGCUGCCGCGCUCAGCCUGUGUGGCCUCCACUGUGCUCAUAAUUCACGCAAACACACUUACACACACACACACACCCACAUCCCAGUCGCUCCAAUCUGAAGCAGUAAAUGUUACUGUCUAACAUAUGGGCGACAUUGUGAUGAAAAUACUCUCUCUCCUUUAUGCCCUCUCAUACAAUUACUCUUUUCUCUUCCCCACCAUCAUAUGAUCAUGUUUUUUUCUCACAGGUUUGAUCUGAAAUCCCCAAAUUAUUCAUUUGAUGCAUAAACACAAUCCGUUUAGGUUAUUUUUUGAGAUUUUAUUUUUAAUUCUUUAGCACCCUUUAAUAUCGUAACAUCAACGUAACAUUAAAUAAUAGUUAUGCUAAUAUACAAAGUGGAUAUCUAUACAGUAUUAUUAAAUCCAGUGUUUAUUUUCAUGCAAUGCAAAUAUUUAAGUGCCUUAUUAAUUUCAAAACCUUGCACUGUUUCCACUGUUUUCAUUCAUUCAUUCAUUCACACUAUAAAAAUAUGAUCUCAUUAUAUUUUGUUUCUUUGUUUGCAUGGGCUUUUCUGAGUUGACUUACGCCCAAAAGUUGAGAUAACUUCAUUUUUUUAUUUUUUUUAUUUGCCAAUUCAGAUACAUUGGAUUGGAUAAACUCUGUAAAUAUAAAAUAUAAAUAUAAAAAAAUAAAUAAAUAAAGUUUAGUUUACUAAUAUAUAUAUA